CCUACGGGUGGCAGCAGUGAGGAAUAUUGGUCAAUGGGCGGAAGCCUGAUCCAGCCAAGUCGCGUGAGGGACUAAGGCCCUACGGGUCGUAAACCUCUUUUGCCGGGGAUCAGUGCCCAGCUCGCGAGCUGGGAGGGAGCGUACCCGCAGAAAAAGCAUCGGCUAACUCCGUGCCAGCAGCCGCGUUAAUACGGGGGAUGCGAGCGUUAUCCGGAUUGUUUGGGUUUAACGGGUGCGUAGGCGGGCCUUAAGCCCGGCGGUAAAAUUGCGGGGCGCCACCCCGCCGAGCCGUCGGAACCGGGGGCCUUGAGUACCGGAGAGGUACGCGGAAUGCGUGGUGUAGCGGUGAAAUGCAUAGAUAUCACGCAGAACCCCGAUGGCGAAGGCAGCGUACCGGCCGGUCACUGACGCUGAGGCACGAAAGCGAGGGUAUCGAACAGGAUUAGAUACCCCUGUAGUC
rnacentral:rRNA from 1 species